rnacentral:piRNA from 1 species
AAUAAGAGAGAGACACAGACAGA